GGUCAUAGUUAAAUGAACGCACGACACCAGUACCACAGUCUGCAUGAACCGCUCACCACACUGUUCACUAGCUGGCUGCACAAAAUUCAUACCUCAAGAGGCUGUUAAUCCUACUUGGGGAAAAAAAACUCAAUUAGUAUCAGAAAACAAAGUUACGUGUAACAUAAGAAAAUAACAGAAGCAAUAGUUAAACUAAGCAAUCUCUAAAAAUUACUUUUA